GACGAACGCUGGCGGCGUGCUUAACACAUGCAAGUCGAACGGAAAGGCCCUGCUUUUGUGGGGUGCUCGAGUGGCGAACGGGUGAGUAACACGUGAGUAACCUGCCCUUGACUUUGGGAUAACUUCAGGAAACUGGGGCUAAUACCGGAUAGGAGCUCCUGCUGCAUGGUGGGGGUUGGAAAGUUUCGGCGGUUGGGGAUGGACUCGCGGCUUAUCAGCUUGUUGGUGGGGUAGUGGCUUACCAAGGCUUUGACGGGUAGCCGGCCUGAGAGGGUCACCGGCCACAUUGGGACUGGGAUACGGCCCAGACUCCUACGGGAGGCAGCAGUGGGGAAUAUUGCACAAUGGGCGGAAGCCUGAUGCAGCAACGCCGCGUGCGGGAUGACGGCCUUCGGGUUGGAAACCGCUUUCGCCUGUGACGAAGCGUGAGUGACGGUAAUGGGUAAAGAAGCACCGGCUAACUACGUG
rnacentral:rRNA from 1 species